rnacentral:rRNA from 1 species
GUGGGGAAUUUUGGACAAUGGGCGCAAGCCUGAUCCAGCAAUGCCGCGUGCAGGAAGAAGGCCCUCAGGGUUGUAAACGGCUUUUGACGGUGAAGAAUCGACAGGAUGCGUCCUGUUUUGACGGUAGCCGUUGAAUAAGCACCGGCUAACUCCGUGCCAGCAGCCGCGGUAAUACGUAGGGUGCGAGCGUUAAUCGGAAUUACUGGGCGUAAAGCGUGCGCAGGCGGUGCUGUAAGACAGGCGUGAAAUCCCCGGGCUCAACCUGGGAAUUGCGCUUGUGACUGCAGUGCUGGAGUGCGGCAGAGGGGGAUGGAAUUCCGCGUGUAGCAGUGAAAUGCGUAGAUAUGCGGAGGAACACCGAUGGCGAAGGCAAUCCCCUGGGCCUGCACUGACGCUCAUGCACGAAAGCGUGGGGAGCAAACAGGAUUAGAAACCCGGGUAGUCC